GGAGGGGUGGGUGAGUGGCUGAAACCAACGGUUUGCUAAAUCGUCGUAGUCUGCAAAGGUUACCGAGGGUUCGAAUCCCUCCUCCUCCA
rnacentral:tRNA from 2 species